UUUCGAGCCUUGGAAAAUUAACGGACCGACUGUCAGACGGGAUGGGACCCACGGGCCGAGAGAGCGGGCAUGGGUGGCCCAUUAGCCGUGGGCGGGUCGGGGCGUUAUAAAAAUUUUAGAAUAUCCUUUAAAUACAAUCAUCUACUUCUCCCGAAAAAAUCAACAAUAAUGAUUGAGAGUGUCAUGUAGAUUAAUCUACAAUGGAACAAUGUUUCAGUUAAUUAUUAAAGUGGACGUACCGGAGUGGUUAUCGGGCAUGACUAGAAAUCAUGUGGGCUUUACCCGCGCAGGUUUGAAAUCCUACCAGUCACGCUUUUGCGAAGCAGUUUUUUUUAAAAGAAAAUACCACUAUUUUGUAAUUGUUUUUCUUAUGAUAGUUUACUUAUUACAUUUAGGUAAACUAAAAAUGUUACAAAACAGUUCGAGAUACAAAUAACUAACUAUCAUUUUUAUGUUCUUCCUAUUAUACUCAAAAAGGAUUAACCAAACAAGCAAGUCCUUAUCUAAUCUAUCUUAUUACAAUCCCGACUUUAGCUCAGUCGGUAGAGCUGGGGGGCUGUAUUUUUACCAGAAAUUCUUUAGGUCCCAACUGUUUUGCUUUUAUAGUUAAUUUUAUUUUUUCAGAGUAUUUUAAUAAUAUUACGCAUAUGUACAUGUCUUAUAAUGUAUAUUCCGUAAUAGGAGUAUAUAACAAAAUUAGUUUUGUUUCAGAAAAUAGGGUGGACUGACUUAAAUAAAAUUAUAAUUUUCUUUUAAAAUUAAAGAAUGUUUAUAAAAAAUUUGAAAGAUUUUUAAUCUGUGGUUUUAAUCCCUUUUUUUAGUUAAGGAAAAUUUCUCGAACUUUCUUGAUUUAGCAAUAUUAUUCUCCAAGAUCAACAAUUUUGAAUGAACAUAGUAUAAGUUACAUUGUCUAUGUUUAUAUAAAAUUUAAAGAAAUAAAAAGCUUCUUUAUAGAAAAAUGAUUAUCGAGUGUCAGAUAAAAUUCGAAGACUAUUGAACCACCAGUUCAAAUUGUCCCCGCAAGAUUUUGUGAAUUAGUUUCUUCUAAUUGUUUGCUACUGUUACAAUGGACUGGGCAAUAUGUAUUAUAUUAUGGCUUGGUUUUUUUAUUUUUUUAUGCAUAAACUAUAUAACUAUUUAAAUGGGCAAACAAUAUGUACAUUAUUAUGUAUCAAUAAUCUAUAUGUAGAAUGUAGACAUGUAUGAAAUGUGGUAUACAUCCGACCUUAGCUCAGUUGGUAGAGCGGAGGACUGUAGUAGUUGCAGAAAAUCCUUAGGUCACUGGUUCGAAUCCGGUAGGUCGGAAAUGUUUUAGUCAAGACGUUUUCAUUUUGAUUUUGACGUUAUGUAUCAGAAAACUGAAUUGUGUAAUUAUGCCAAAAAUUGAACGUUAUUCAGCUAAACAUCAUCGUUUAGGUGUUUUAUUUUUUUCAAUACUGAAUCUGCUAAAGUGAACAUUAAAAAGUAAUUUCUAAGAGUUAGCCUAUUAUCUAUAUUCAAACACGAAAAAUAUAACACAAAAUAAAAUUUAAAAAUGUAAAUAAAAUUUAAUUUGGAAGAUUGUUGCAUGUGCCAAUCAGUUUUUAAUGUUGUCUUAUGGGUAGUGGAAGUUCUCUGCCAUUUUCUUGCAUGAACUUGUCCUUUAAUAUUUUUAUUAAUAUAAUCAAUCAUGCUAUCCUAAAUAUUAUUUCUAUCAUUUUACUUAAGUUGGAGAUAGAAAUUGUUUUUAAUUUGUAUUCAACUGGAAUAAAAAAUAUAUAGCAAAAAAAAAGAGAAAAUUGCUAAAAGAGAACAAAAAAACAAGGUUGUUGUCUCUUUGGUAUAAAACCAAUUUUGUCCAUUUUUUUCUCUUUUUUACCUUUUGUAUUUCUGAAAGCUAAUGAAAUAAAUAAUUUUGUUAAUCCAAAAAAUUAUUAAAAAUAUAAAAAAUUAAUAAAACAUCCAUAUACAUAAGCUGGUAAUUUUUUUUUGUUUAAAAACUUGGUAAAUAAGAUUUUUAAAAUACGUUCUACUAAAAAUAGAAUACGUCUUCUACGAAAAUGAUAUAGUAAAAAACGAUUUCUAAAAUAAACAUGUUCAUCUACUUCUUUUAGAACGCCCAUUUUACUAUUUACUAAAUUUCUAAAAAAGAGGAAUGCGCAUUCUACUAAUCGUAAAGGUAUCCACUUUUCUUCCGAAUGCAUCUUCUACUUUAAUAAAGUAUUCUAAAUUUCAGGGAAUGUGUUUUCUACAAUGUACUCUUACGUCCACUCAAAGUAGAAAGUGAAUUCAGAAUUUUUAUUAUUCUUCUAAACUUUUAGAAGUCGUCUUCUACGGAUAAGAAUACCUGAUUUGUAUUGCGAAAAUUAACGAAAUUUCAGUUAAGAAAAUAUUCUAAAAAUCUCCUAAAAAUAUUCUAACUCCCUAAAAUGUGUUAUGGUCGAUUUUACUUGAAAAAAUUAAAAAAAAAUAAUUCUCCCUUUUCUUCUUCAUCAAUCUAUGGUUUUUCUAUAGUUUUUCUUUUGAUUCUUCUUACAAACUCUUGUUCUCUAUGAUGCAUAUCUAUACCUUAUUUCUUUUCUUUUUUCGAUUGCCUUUCAAAUGUUUUUUUUCCUUUUUUCCAUUAACUUUAAAAACAAAAUCAAAUUACCUUUUAAAUUGUAUUUAAUUAGAUUAAAUAUAGGGUUAGUUUUGGAAUUAUAAAAAAAACUAUACUAUUGAGACAACUUCAUGUUGGUUUUAUACCAAGGGGACAGCAACCUUGUUUUUUUGUUCUCUUUUGGCAAUUUUCCCAAAAAAAUAUUACUACUUACUAAGACAGACUAAAUA